AUUGAACGCUGGCGGCAUGCCUUACACAUGCAAGUCGAACGGCAGCACGGGGGCAACCCUGGUGGCGAGUGGCGAACGGGUGAGUAAUGAAUCGGAACGUGCCCGGUAGUGGGGGAUAACCAGUCGAAAGACUGGCUAAUACCGCAUACGACCUACGGGUGAAAGCGGGGGACCGUAAGGCCUCGCGCUAUCGGAGCGGCCGAUUUCCGAUUAGCUAGUUGGUGAGGUAAAGGCUCACCAAGGCGAUGAUCGGUAGCUGGUCUGAGAGGA
rnacentral:rRNA from 1 species